AACGAACGCUGGCGGCAGGCUUAACACAUGCAAGUCGAGCGCCCCGCAAGGGGAGCGGCAGACGGGUGAGUAACGCGUGGGAAUCUCCCCAUCUCUACGGAAUAACGCAUGGAAACGUGUGCUAAUACCGUAUACGUCCUGCGGGAGAAAGAUUUAUCGGAGAUGGAUGAGCCAGCGUUGGAUUAGCUAGUUGGUGGGGUAAAGGCCUACCAAGGCGACGAUCCAUAGAUGGUCUGAGAGGAUGAUCAGCCACACUGGGGCUGAGACACGGCCCAGACUCCUACGGGAGGCAGCAGUGGGGAGUAUUGGACAAUGGGCGCAAGCCUGAUCCAGCCAUGCCGCGUGAGUGAUGAAGGCCCUAGGGUUGUAAAGCUCUUUCACCGGUGAAGAUAAUGACGGUAACCGGAGAAGAAGCCCCGGCUAACUUCGUGCCAGCCGCCGCGGUAACAC
rnacentral:rRNA from 1 species